GACGAACGCUGGCGGCGUGCUUAACACAUGCAAGUCACGGGGGCUCGCAAGAGCAACCGGCGAACGGGUGCGUAACACGUGAGCAACCUGCCGAUCUGAGGGGGAUAGCCGGCCCAACGGCCGGGUAAUACCGCAUACGUUCUCGAGGGGGAGUCCUCUUGAGAAGAAACCUCCGGGGCAGAUCGAGGGGCUCGCGGCCUAUCAGCUAGUUGGUGAGGUAACGGCUCACCAAGGCGACGACGGGAGCUGGUCUGAGAGGAUGGCCAGCCACAUUGGGACUGAGAGACGGCCCAGACUCCUACGGGAGGCAGCAGUGGGGAAUCUUGCGCAAUGGCCGAAAGGCUGACGCAGCGACGCCGCGUGUGGGAUGAAGCAUUUCGGUGUGUAAACCACUGUUGCCCGGGACGAACAGCUCUUUUCGAGGAGCCUGACGGUACCGGGUGAGGAAGCACCGGCUAACUCCGUGCCAGCAGCCGCAAGU
rnacentral:rRNA from 1 species